AUUGAACGCUGGCGGAAUGCUUUACACAUGCAAGUCGAACGGCAGCACGGACUUCGGUCUGGUGGCGAGUGGCGAACGGGUGAGUAAUGUAUCGGAACGUGCCCAGUCGUGGGGGAUAACGUAGUGAAAAUUACGCUAAUACCGCAUACGAUCUAUGGAUGAAAGCGGGGGAUCGCAAGACCUCGCGCGAUUGGAGCGGCCGAUAUCAGAUUAGGUAGUUGGUGGGGUAAAGGCCCACCAAGCCAACGAUCUGUAGCUGGUCUGAGAGGACGACCAGCCACACUGGAACUGAGACACGGUCCAGACUCCUACGGGAGGCAGCAGUGGGGAAUUUUGGACAAGGGGCGAAAGCCUGUGCCAGCCAUUCCGCGUGCAGGAUGAAGGCCCUCGGGUUGUAAACUGCUUUUGUACAGAACGAAAAGGUUUCUACUAAUACUAGGAGCUCAUGACGGUACUGUAAGAAUAAGCACCGGCUAACUACGUGCCAGCCGCCGCCGUAA
rnacentral:rRNA from 1 species